UGCCAGCAGCCGCGGUAAAACGUAGGAGCCAAGCGUUAUCCGAAUUCACUGGGCGUAAAGCGUGUGCAGGCGGUCAGAUAAGUUGGAUGUGAAAUCUCCUGGCUCAACUGGGAGAGGCCGUUCAAUACUGUCAGACUAGAGGACAACAGAGGGAAGUGGAAUUCCGGGUGUAGUGGUGAAAUGCGUAGAUAUCCGGAGGAACACCAGUGGCGAAAGCGGCUUCCUGGGUUGUAUCUGACGCUCAGACACGAAAGCUAGGGUAGCGAACGGGAUUAGAAACCCCGGUAGUCCUAGCCGUAAACGAUGUAGACUUGGUGUCGGCGGGGUAAAAGCCGUCGGUGCCGAAGCCAACGCGAUAAGUCUACCGCCUGGGGACUACGGCCGCAAGGUUAAAACUCAAAGGAAUUGACGGGGGCCCGCACAAGU
rnacentral:rRNA from 1 species